ensembl:lncRNA
GUUUUUCCUUCCCACUGUCGCCAAAGUGCUGCUCAUAGGGGGUCAUAUGAUUGUUGGGCUUUUCUCUGUAUGUAUUAUUGUAGGGUCUACUGUACAAUAUAAAGCACGGCUGUAUAAAUAAAUUGAUUUGUGUAGAAAAGCGAUUUAAGUGACUUUGACCAUGGUGUGAUCGUUGGUGCUAAAUGGGCUGCUGAACUAUUACAGACCACAUCCACAAAAUUGUCUUAACGCACUUUGUGCCCCUUAGUAUCAGAUGAGCAUUGUCCAAACACCACAGCCUACCUGAGCACCGUCCGUCCCUUUAUGACCACAGGUCUGCAGGGGUGGCAUGUCACAAAGCUCGGAUCAUCCCGGACUGGUUUCUUGAACAUGACGUUGGUGUCUUCUUGCCCCGUCUCUGACGACAUUUGCACCUCUGUUACCCAGCACCACCGCUGCCUUUCUGCCUUUUCUGCGUCUCUGGCGUCUGGCUGUGCUAUCUGACCUUUCCUCUUCCUGUGCUGCUCUGUCACCCUUUUUGUUGACUUUCAUGUUCUGCGUUGAUUAAUUGCAAAACAAGGGAAGUGUAAACUAAAAGUGGGGCUUGUUGUCAGACAAAUUAGUGGUAGUAAAUUCUGGAGCUUUGUCUUUGAAGCCCUGCCCGUGUGCGAUGGCCUCCGGGUCACUGUGUUUACUACAGCUGUGAAAGUCGGAUGUUUUGUAUAUCAGUAGGAAAGGUGUACUUCUUUGGGACCUCACAACGCUAAUGGUGCCGCUCUGUGAAAGCUCAGUGGUUGUUGUCAAUUUUAUGUGUCCUGUUGAUAUUUUAUCUACAAAUUCAUGAUUCCCAGAAGAAUAAUUGCGCUGACGUCCUGCACCACUGUAGUGCUGAUGGCUUGGAUCUGCAUUCAUGCUUCGUAAGAACCAAAAAAUGUAAUUUUAAUUCUUUUUAUAUGGAGGGUAUAUGACAGAGAUCUGUGACAGUAAAAGCGCAGCUCUGGAUAUUCUCGUCCAUCAGUGCCUCGUGUUGACUAAACCUGAGGUGUUUUAUUUUAGCUGAAUCAUCACGAUUGCAAAUAUCAGUGCCCUGAGUUAUAACAAUGUAAUUAAACAAAUUCAACAUGAUAACAUGUCCUCAUAAUCAUCAGUCUGCACACGAAUGGGAAAAAGAGAUGACGCAUAAGCUUAACCUCAUCGUCACAGUUUGGUCCAUAUGUGACUGAUGAUGGGUACUUUUAGCUUCCUGUAGGUUUGAUUAAUGACUGUCUGCUCCGCUGCAGCCAGGUCCACCCUGCACGCAUUUUACUUAAACCAGUGUGAGUGCAUUCGUAGCUAUACACGGCACUGGAAACACUUGAUGCGAAACAAAGGAUUUCCUGAAAACAGGAGGCAGACCAGCUCACCUGUAACACACACAUCCUUGUGUACAGCGAGUCUGGGAGAUAAUCCUGGUUUGUUUCUUAUGUAAUAUGGAAACAAACUCAAAUAUUUGUUCUGUCUGGCCUUAUUUCUUCCACUUCUGACGCAAGUUUGUCACAAAAUGAAACUAAAACAAAUCCUCGGGAUUUAUAAGACAGAACAGAAAAACUUUGUUGAGAUGGAGCCGGUCAAAGGUCACCAUGAUCCCGUUCUUGUGAAUGCAGAACACCUGGAGGAAAUAUCUUUAAAUUUAGCACAAUUAUUGCAUCAGAUUCGGGAAUAAACUGGGUAGAAUUUGUUGGUCAAAGGUUAAACAUCUUCUGUGACUUCACACAAACUUAAAUGAGGACACAACCUGUUAGAUAAUCGUGCAAAUGAUAGAAAACGUGCACUGGUGUCUAACAGGAUAAAAGAAGUGAGGCUAUUAUCUACACAAAUAGGCAAAGAUGUUCUGCAAAAACGCUUUU